rnacentral:rRNA from 1 species
GUAUGGGGAUCUGCCCGAUAGAGGGGGAUAACUACUGGAAACGGUGGCUAAUACCGCAUAAUGUCUACGGACCAAAGCAGGGGCUCUUCAGACCUUGCACUAUCGGAUGAACCCAUAUGGGAUUAGCUAGUAGGUGGGGUAAAGGCUCACCUAGGCGACGAUCUCUAGCUGGUCUGAGAGGAUGAUCAGCCACACUGGGACUGAGACACGGCCCAG